AUCUAGCUCACUGUACUGUACACACAGUAGCAACUGUAUUACUGGGGAAUUUUCCCACCUGCAAGCCAUUCUGUGCUCUAUAGCUGCCAAGUUUCUCCCUGGGUGGCGGAUGAUAAAUAGAAGUCAUUCUCUGAGAAUCUACGGCAAAUGUGGAGGGCCACUUCUGGCGGAUAAUGCGGGAGGGAGAUCCCUGCCGUUGCCUGCCGGGGAGAAAUCCCUCUGGCAUGGACUCUUCACUUAUCCUAGAUGAGGUCCCAGUGUAUGGGGAAAAGAUUAGCCAAUCUCAAGUGUCUCCAUCACUAUCGUAUUUCUAUCAUCUCCAUGAUCUAGAGUCAAGGGAGCGUAAAGCUGACAAGAGACUCUCUACUACCUUCCAGGGGCUCGGUAGAGAAGCACUCACCAAACAUUUGCCAGUAAAGCCACAUAGUGUAUACCUUGGAUACAUGCGUCUGGCAGUAACCCAGAACUAUCAGACAGAGGAUCUCUCUUUCAGCUGCUGCUGACAACAGCUGCAUUCAAGCAGGUAGCCCGGCGGCUAAGGAGUUGUGCCUGUGGCAGGAGUUGGCCGAAAGGUGACCGGGUUUGAAUCCUGGGCCGGGUGCUGUAAAAAAAAAUGAGAGGAAUUUAUCUGACAACUGGAGGCUGCUGGGAUCACAUCCUCAAAACAACGUUCCUCUACUGUUAGGCCCUUGAGCAAGGCCCUUAACCCCACAACAUGCUUUCUGUCCAGGGGCAGUUUCAA